UACGUAGGGGGCAAGCGUUGUCCGGAAUCAUUGGGCGUAAAGCGCGUGUAGGCGGCUCGGUAAGUCCGCUCUGAAAGUCCAGGGCUCAACCCUGGGAUGCGGGUGGAUACUGCCGGGCUCGAGUCCGGAAGAGGCGAGUGGAAUUCCCGGUGUAGCGGUGAAAUGCGUAGAUAUCUGGAGGAACACCGGUGGCGAAGGCGGCAUCCUGGACCAAUACUGACACUGAGGAGCGAAAGCCAGGGGAGCAAACGGG
rnacentral:rRNA from 1 species